GACGAACGCUGGCGGCGUGCCUAAUACAUGCAAGUAGAACGCACAGUUUAUACCGUAGCUUGCUACACCAUACACUGUGAGUUGCGAACGGGUGAGUAACGCGUAGGUAACCUGCCUGGUAGCGGGGGAUAACUAUUGGAAACGAUAGCUAAUACCGCAUAAUAUUGAUUAUUGCAUGAUAAUUGAUUGAAAGAUGCUAUUGCAUCACUACCAGAUGGACCUGCGUUGUAUUAGCUAGUAGGUGAGGUAACGGCUCACCUAGGCGACGAUACAUAGCCGACCUGGGAGGGUGAUCGGCCACACUGGGACUGAGACACGGCCCAGACUCCUACGGGAGGCAGCAGUAGGGAAACUUCGGCAAUGGACGAAAGUCUGACCGAGCAACGCCGCGUGAGUGAAGAAGGGUUUCGGAUCGUAAAGCUCUGUUGUAAGAGAAGAACGGGUGUGAGAGUGGAAAGUUCACACUGUGACGGUAUCUUACCAGAAAGGGACGGCUAACUACGUG
rnacentral:rRNA from 1 species